AGUAAUACAUAAGUAACCUGCCCUAGACAGGGGGAUAACUAUUGGAAACGAUAGCUAAGACCGCAUAGGUACGGACACUGCAUGGUGACCGUAUUAAAAGUGCCUCAAAGCACUGGUAGAGGAUGGACUUAUGGCGCAUUAGCUGGUUGGCGGGGUAACGGCCCACCAAGACGACGAUGCGUAGCCGACCUGAGAGGGUGACCGGCCACACUGGGACUGAGACACGGCCCAG
rnacentral:rRNA from 1 species